rnacentral:rRNA from 1 species
GGAUAACCUGCCGAAAGGUGGGCUAAUACAGCAUGAGACCACGCACUUUCGAGUGUGAGGUCAAAGCGGGCUUCUGUUUACAUGCUCGCGCUCUAGGAUGGGUCCGCGGCCCAUCAGCUAGUUGGUAGGGUAACGGCCUACCAAGGCAACGACGGGUAGGCUGGUCUGAGAGGAUGACCAGCCACACUGGAACUGAGACACGGUCCAGACUCCUACGGGAGGCAGCAGUGGGGAAUCUUGCGCAAUGGGCGAAAGCCUGACGCAGCGACGCCGCGUGGGUGACGAAGGCCUCGGUGUAAGCCUCGUGGGGGGAGGACGAACCGGGUCGUGGCGUAAUAUCCACGGUCCUUGACGGUAUCCCUUUACGCAAGCAUCGGCUAACUCUGUGCCAGCAGCCGCGGUAAGACAGAGGAUGCAAACGUUGCUCGGAAUUACUGGGCGUAAAGCGCGCGCAGGUGGUCCGGUAAGUC